rfam:Neisseria mucosa ATCC 25996 N_mucosa-1.0.2_Cont7.1, whole genome shotgun sequence.
CAAUUAUAGUGAGAGUCAUGGAAUCGCUGAUUCCAGCGAUAAUGUAAAGCCUAAGUGGA